rnacentral:rRNA from 1 species
AGGACGAACGCUGGCGGCGUGCUUAAUACAUGCAAGUCAACUUGACUUUAGAUAGCAAUAUCGAGAAGUAGGGUGGCGCACGGGUGCGUAACGCGUAGGUAAUCUGCCCUGAGGUCUGACAUAACCCGUCGAAAGGCGGGCUAACAUCAGAUGAUAUAUAAUCACGACAUCGUGGAAAUAUCAAAUCUUCGGAGCCUUGGGAUGAGCCUGCGUCUGAUUAGGUAGUUGGCGGAGUAAUAGCCCACCAAGCCUACGAUCAGUAGCUGGUCUGAGAGGAUGAUCAGCCACACUGGAACUGAGACACGGUCCAGACUCCUACGGGAGGCAGCAGUAAGGAAUAUUGCUCAAUGGGGGGAAACCCUGAAGCAGCAACGCCGCGUGAAGGAUGAAAUACUUUGUAUGUAAACUUCUGUAAGAUGGGAAAAAUAUUCUCCUCGGGAGAAUUGAUUGUACCAUCAGAGUAAGCCCCGGCUAACUACGUG